UACGUAGGUCCCGAGCGUUGUCCGGAUUUAUUGGGCGUAAAGCGAGCGCAGGUGGUUUAUUAAGUCUGGUGUAAAAGGCAGUGGCUCAACCAUUGUAUGCAUUGGAAACUGGUAGACUUGAGUGCAGGAGAGGAGAGUGGAAUUCCAUGUGUAGCGGUGAAAUUCGUAGAUAUAUGGAGGAACACCGGUGGCGAAAGCGGCUCUCUGGCCUGUAACUGACACUGAGGCUCGAAAGCAUGGGGAGCAAACAGG
rnacentral:rRNA from 1 species